rnacentral:rRNA from 1 species
AUUGAACGCUGGCGACGUGCCUAACACAUGCAAGUCGUGCGAGAAAGGGUCCUUCGGGACCUGAGUAGAGCGGCGCACGGGUGAGUAACGCGUGGGUAUCUACCCAGAGGAUCGGGAUAACAGUGGGAAACCGCUGCUAAUACCGGAUACGACCUCCGGGUGAAAGGUGGCCUCUAUUUAUAAGCUACCGCUUCUGGAUGAGCCCGCGUCCCAUUAGCUUGUUGGCGGGGUAAUGGCCCACCAAGGCUACGAUGGGUAGCUGGUCUGAGAGGAUGAUCAGCCACACUGGGACUGGAACACGGCCCAGACUCCUACGGGAGGCAGCAGUGGGGAAUAUUGCGCAAUGGGGGAAACCCUGACGCAGCGACGUCGUGUGAGGGAAGAAGGCCUUCGGGUCGUAAACCUCUGUCAGGAGGGAAGAACCACCAGGAGAGUAAUACGCUCCUGGUCUGACGGUACCUCCAAAGGAAGCACCGGCUAACUCCGUGCCAGCAGCCGCGGUAAUACGGAGGGUGCAAGCGUUAAUCGGAAUCACUGGGCGUAAAGCGCGCGUAGGCGGCCUUGUAAGUCGGAUGUGAAAUCCCAUGGCUCAACCAUGGAACUGCAUUCGAAACUGCUUGGCUUGAGUACAGGAGAGGGUGGCGGAAUUCCCGGUGUAGGAGUGAAAUCCGUAGAGAUCGGGAGGAACACCAGUGGCGAAGGCGGCCACCUGGACUGUAACUGACGCUGAGGCGCGAAAGCGUGGGGAGCAAACAGGAUUAGAUACCCUGGUAGUCCACGCCUUAAACGAUGGAUACUAGGUGUCGGGGUUUAACCUCGGUGCCGGAGCUAACGCGUUAAGUAUCCCGCCUGGGGAGUACGGUCGCAAGGCUG